rnacentral:rRNA from 1 species
UGGGGAAUAUUGGACAAUGGGCGCAAGCCUGAUCCAGCCAUGCCGCGUGAGUGACGAAGGCCUUAGGGUUGUAAAGCUCUUUUGGCGGGGAAGAUAAUGACGGUACCCGCAGAAUAAGCUCCGGCUAACUUCGUGCCAGCAGCCGCGGUAAUACGAAGGGAGCUAGCGUUGUUCGGAAUCACUGGGCGUAAAGCGCACGUAGGUGGGCAGUUAAGUCAGGGGUGAAAGCCCGAGGCUCAACCUCGGAAUUGCCUCUGAUACUGGCUGUCUAGAGUUCGAGAGAGGUGAGUGGAAUUCCUAGUGUAGAGGUGAAAUUCGUAGAUAUUAGGAAGAACACCGGUGGCGAAGGCGGCUCACUGGAUCGGUACUGACGCUGAGGUGCGAAAGCGUGGGGAUCAAACAGGAUUAGAUACCCAAGUAGUCCCUGAGCGGGCUGGCAAGGCGCAU